CCUACGGGCGGCAGCAGUGAGGAAUAUUGGUCAAUGGCCGGAAGGCUGAACCAGCCAUGCCGCGUUAAGGUCAGUGCCCUAUGGGCGUUAAACUUCUUUUGUGCGGGAGCAAUAAUGGUCACGUGUGGCCAGACGAGAGUACCGUACGAAUAAGCAUCGGCUAACUCCGUGCCAGCAGCCGCGGUAAUACGGGGGUUGCAAGCAUUAUCCGGAUUUAUUGGGGUUAAAGGGUGCGUAGGCUGUGAGGUAAGUCAGCGGUGAAAUGCCCCCGCUCAACGGGGUGAAGUGCCAUUGAUACUGCCUUGCUGGAAUGCGGAUGCCGUGGGAGGAAUGUGUGGUGUAGCGGUGAAAUGCAUAGAUAUCACACAGAACACCGAUUGCGAAGGCAUCUCACGAAUCCGCGAUUGACGCUGAUGCACGAAAGCGUGGGUAUCAAACAGGAUUAGAUACCCUUGUAGUC
rnacentral:rRNA from 1 species